rnacentral:rRNA from 1 species
AUUGAACGCUGGCGGCAGGCCUAACACAUGCAAGUCGAGCGGAUGAGUGGAGCUUGCUCCAUGAUUCAGCGGCGGACGGGUGAGUAAUGCCUAGGAAUCUGCCUGGUAGUGGGGGACAACGUUUCGAAAGGAACGCUAAUACCGCAUACGUCCUACGGGAGAAGGCAGGGGACCUUCGGGCCUUGCGCUAUCAGAUGAGCCUAGGUCGGAUUAGCUAGUUGGUGGGGUAAAGGCCUACCAAGGCGACGAUCCGUAACUGGUCUGAGAGGAUGAUCAGUCACACUGGAACUGAGACACGGUCCAGACUCCUACGGGAGGCAGCAGUGGGGAAUAUUGGACAAUGGGCGAAAGCCUGAUCCAGCCAUGCCGCGUGUGUGAAGAAGGUCUUCGGAUUGUAAAGCACUUUAAGUUGGGAGGAAGGGCAGUAAGCUAAUACCUUGCUGUUUUGACGUUACCAACAGAAUAAGCACCGGCUAACUUCGUGCCAGCAGCCGCUGUAAAAC